rnacentral:tRNA from 1 species
CAGAAAGUAGUUUAGUUGAAAAUACCAGCUUUGGGAGUUGGUGAUAGAGGUUUAACUCCUUUCUUUCUGA